GGCCGAUGCAUGGGUGGCCAGCUAGGGCGGGGCACAUGUGGGCAGGUAGCCAGGGCGGCGUGGGUUGCUAGCCAGGGCAAGGUAGUGUCCGGCUACGGUGGCGCGGAUCUCGCACCCGAUGGCGGCGGCGUGGAUCUGACGCCCGCCUCUCUCUCUUCCACCGACGACCCUCUUCUCUUCCUCUCCCGAAUCCGACAGCCUUGGAUGGGCUGCACGUGGAUCCGUUGUCUAAGACCCGUGUCUUCAGCGAGGACUCAAUGGAUCUGGUGUUGGUGCUUUGAUCUGGCGUCUCCGACCUGCGUCUUUGAUGAGGAUGCAGCGGAUUUGGCGGCGGACGUCGGAUCCUAGUUCGGCGUGCGGUCCUGUAUGGAAGCUCGCACUGGCAAGCAGCUGUGGCGGCGGCGACUCAUGGAUGGGCUCAUGUUGCUUAUCCACAGUUUUUUUUUGUUUUUUAUUUGAUUUACCGAGGCGGGCGUCCAACCGCCUUAGAAAAGGUCUCAUUUAACAUGACAUUUCGUUCGAGGUGGUUGUGAUGUCUGCCUCAAUUAAUCAUUUUUGUCCGCCUUGGUAAUGUUUUCUCUAGGAGAGCUCUUUGCCUGCCUCUGCGUUAAGUUUUGUGUAGUAGCAGUUUUGCGCCACCUGUGGCAGCAACUAACACGAUAGAAAUGAAUUAAACUACGCUUCAAUUCGAUUCUGAAAACACCAACAAAACUUUGCUAAGAUUGCCAUAACCAUUGUUUUGAUUCCUGCAUCUGCGCUUGAAGCAGGACCAUUGAUGGAUCCAGUACAUUGACUUGAAAAUUAUUCAUGUAUAAGUACUAGACUUAGUCUUGUUAAAAACUACAUCAUUUUUAUUUAACCAUAAAGCCCAACAAAGUGUAGCCGCAUCUACCAGAAUUUGAUUUAUAAGCUUAUGGUGUACGCCACUCAACUAAGAGCCAAGCAAAUUAGAAAAACUAGUUGGUGGUUGAAUUACAAAGGUGAUAUCCACAACAUUCCGUACAAAGCUCGUAA
rnacentral:lncRNA from 1 species